rnacentral:rRNA from 1 species
UAAGGAAUAUUGCUCAAUGGGAGAAAUCCUGAAGCAGCAACGCCGCGUGGAGGAUGAAGGGUCUAUGACUUGUAAACUCCUGUAAAGAAGGAAAAAAUUCCCAUUUGAUGGGAGGUGAUGGUACUCCUGGAGUAAGCCCCGGCUAACUACGUGCCAGCAGCCGCGGUGAUACGUAGGGGGCAAGCGUUGUCCGGAUUUACUGGGUGUAAAGGGUGCUCAGGCGGAUUUGUAAGUCAGAGGUGAAAUCUUACAGCUUAACUGUGAAACUGCCUUUGAUACUGCAAGCCUAGAGUAUGGAAGAGAGUGAUGGAAUAUCUGGUGUAGCAGUGAAAUGCGUAGAUAUCAGAUAGAACACCAAUGGCGAAGGCAGUCACUUGGUCCAUUACUGACGCUAAAGCACGAAAGCGUGGGUAGCAAACA